GAUGAACGCUGGCGGCGUGCCUAAUACAUGCAAGUCGAGCGAACGGACGAGAAGCUUGCUUCUCUGAUGUUAGCGGCGGACGGGUGAGUAACACGUGGAUAACCUACCUAUAAGACUGGGAUAACUUCGGGAAACCGGAGCUAAUACCGGAUGAUAUUUUGAACCGCAUGGUUCAAAAGUGAAAGACGGUCUUGCUGUAACUUAUAGAUGGAUCCGCGCUGCAUUAGCUAGUUGGUAAGGUAACGGCUUACCAAGGCAACGAUGCAUAGCCGACCUGAGAGGGUGAUCGGCCACACUGGAACUGAGACACGGUCCAGACUCCUACGGGAGGCAGCAGUAGGGAAUCUUCCGCAAUGGGCGAAAGCCUGACGGAGCAACGCCGCGUGAGUGAUGAAGGUCUUCGGAUCGUAAAACUCUGUUAUUAGGGAAGAACAUAUGUGUAAGUAACUGUGCACAUCUUGACGGUACCUAAUCAGAAAGCCACGGCUAACUACGUG
rnacentral:rRNA from 1 species